AAAAAGACAAAUCCUAGUUUCCGUGAUCAACGUUUGACCGUCCGUCUUAUUUAAAAAAAUUAUAAAAAAAUUAAAAAGACAAGUCACACAUAAAAUAUUAAUCAUGUUUUAUCAUCUAACAAAAAUGAAAAUAUGAAUUAUAAAAAUUUUUUAUAUAAGACGGACAGUUAAAUUUAGACACGAAAAUUCAGGGUUUGCCUUUUU
rfam:Oryza sativa Japonica Group DNA, chromosome 4, cultivar: Nipponbare, complete sequence.